AACGUAGGUGGCGAGCGUUAUCCGGAUUUACUGGGCGUAAAGGGUGUGCAGGCUGCUCGUCAAGUGGUGUAUGAAAGCGCCCGGCUCAACCGGGAAGGGUUAUGCCAGACUGACGAGCUAGAGAGCGAGAGCGGGACGUGGAAUUCGGGUGGUAAGUGGUGAAAUGCGUAGAGAUCCGGAGGAACCCAGAGGCGAAGGCGGCGUCCUGGCGUCGACAUC
rnacentral:rRNA from 1 species